rnacentral:rRNA from 1 species
AUGUCCACCUCCGCUGCUCCGGUCUCCUCCGGCCUCAACUACAACAUCUCCGAGCCGCUCACCAGGACAAACUACGUCCUCUGGCGAGCCCAGGCGCAAUCCCAGAUAAUGGGCGCUGGCCUGUACGGCUACAUCGACCAAACCAUAGCAGAACCUCCCAAGCUCAUCACCACCAAGGACAAGGACAGCAAAGAUCAGGUGAACCCCAACCCUGCAUAUCCCUGGUUAGUCCAAGAUCAACAGAUCGUCGCAUAUCUUCUUCGAAACCUCUCCAAGGAGGUGCUGGUUCAAGUAGCAUCGAUGGAAACAUCGCAUGCGAUCUGGACGGCGCUGAGCAACAUGUUCUCCGCCGUCUCGCUGUCCCGCGUCAACAACAUUCGUGCCUUCCUCACCAAUGCCCAGAAGGGCAACCAGCCGGCGGCGACCUACUUUGGGCACAUGCGUGCUCUCUCUGAUGAACUUGCAGCGGCAGGCAAACCGAUUGGCAAGGACGAGCUGUGUCGUUCAUCAUCGCGGGGCUUGACAUGGAGUAUCAGCCCAUCAUCUCCGCCCUGGAUGCACGCACUGAUCCGGUCACCGUCGAGAACCUCUUCUCCAUGGUAG